rnacentral:lncRNA from 1 species
UCAAUUGUGUCUCAUAUCCAUCCAUCCUCAUAUCAGUGUCUCAGAACUCAUGCAACAGAUAGUUCACACAUGGGAUGAAUAAUGAAUAUGCACAUGUCAUCAAUCACAAUCAUAUCACGAUCACAUCAUAGUAUUACACAUUAUCUGUCUCAAUCACAACCAUAUCACGACCACAUCAUAGUAUUACACAUCACCUGUCUCAAUCACAAGCAUAUCACGACCACAUCAUAGUAUUACACAUCGUCUGUCUCAAUCACAACCAUAUCACGACCACAUCAUAGUAUUACACAUCGUCUGUCUCAAUCACAACCAUAUCACGACCACAUCAUAGUAUUACACAUCGUCUGUCUCAAUCACAACCAUAUCACGACCACAUCAUAGUAUUACACAUCGUCUGUCUCAAUCACAACCAUAUCACGAC